UCAAUUCAGUCAUUUAACAAAUAUUUAAUAAAUGCUUACAGUGUGCCAGGAACUGGAGCACUAGUAAGGAGCAAGACCUUGUCCCAACUCCAAGGAUCUUAUGAUGCAGAAAAGUAGUCCGAUUAGUGACUGGCGAUGUUUUAGAGAGAACAGAUUCUCCGCUACCAGCCUGGCUUCCCAAGCGAAGACACAGAACAGAGCCACGGCUGGCCUAUGAUGCACACUCAGCGUGGCAGACCACGUGGAAGUCAGCCACCCUUGUGGAUGAUGAUGAAACACCGGCACUUUUCUCUCUCUUCAUACAAGAUGGAGCUCAGAAUACAAUGAUGGGUUUAGCAUGUGGAUUGAGCUAAAAGCAGUGUGCUGGUCAUGCAUAUAAAACAGAAUGCAGGCUGUUUUCAGGAGAAAACAAGCAAUUGGGACUCCAGAUCGAGUUUCCAGGAUCUCCAUGACAAUCAUUUGCAGUAUUAAUUUGCCAGUGGGCUUGGAGUUCUCUUAGUGCUUGACAGUAGUCAUCAAAGAAAAACGAUAGAAGAAAAACUUAAAAUGGACAAACUAGUCCUGACCUAUUUUUUUUUUUUUU